AGCGUCAAAAGGGCAUCCGGGGGAUGUCUUGGCGGUAAGAGGCGAUGAAGGACGUGGCACUCUGCGAUAAGCACGGGGGAGGCGAGAGCACCCAUUGAUCCCGUGAUUUCCGAAUGGGGAAACCCAUCUCCGAGAUGUGUGACUAUUAUCCAAUUUCGGUUGGAUGCUGGUCAUACAUUUCAAUAGAGAGAUAUAAUACACUGAAUACAUAGGUGUUAUUAAGCGAACCCGGGGAAUUGAAACAUCUAAGUACCCGGAGGAAUAGAAAACAAUAGUGAUUCCCGUAGUAGCGGCGAGCGAACUGGGAACAGGCCAAACCAGCAAUGUUUCGGCAUAGCUGGGGUUGUAGGACAGAUAUAAGUUAUGUGAAGGUCUAUAAAAGCAUCUGGAAAGUUGCACCAUAGGGGGUGAUAGUCCCGUAUAUAUAUUAGAGCAUAAUGAUCUGUAUCCUGAGUAGCGCGGAACAUGUGAAAUUCUGUGUGAAUCUGCCAGAACCAUCUGGUAAGCCUAAAUAUGUCAAGAGACCGAUAGUGAACAAGUACCGUGAGGGAAAGGUGAAAAGAACCCUGAAUAAGGGAGUGAAAUAGAACCUGAAACCAGCUGUCUACAAGCGGUCGAAGCCUUCGGGCGACGGCGUGCCUUUUGCAUAAUGAGCCUACGAGU
rnacentral:rRNA from 1 species